rnacentral:rRNA from 1 species
UUCCGGUUGAUCCUGCCGGACCUGACUGCUAUCGGAUUGAUACUAAGCCAUGCGAGUCAUUGUAGUAAUACAAGGCAGACGGCUCAGUAACGCGUAGUCAACCUAACCUAUGGACGGGAAUAACCUCGGGAAACUGAGAAUAAUGCCCGAUAGGACACUAUAUCUGGAAUGGUUUGUGUUCCAAAUGAUUUAUCGCCGUAGGUGGGACUGCGGCCUAUCAGUUUGUUGGUGAGGUAAUGGCCCACCAAGACUAUUACAGGUACGGGCUCUGAGAGGAGUGGCCCGGAGAUGGGUACUGAGACACGGACCCAGGCCCUAUGGGGCGCASAGGCGAGAAAACUUUGCAAUGUGCGAAAGCASRACAAGGUUAAUCCGAGUGGUUUCUGCUAAAGAGACCUUUUGUUAGUCCUAGAAACACUGAUGAAUAAGGGGUGGGCAAGUUCUGGUGUCAGCCGCCGCGGUAAAACCCAGCACCUCAAGUGGUCAGGAUGAUUAUUGGGCCUAAAGCAUCCGUAGCCUGCUUUGUUAGUUUUCGGUUAAAUCUGUGCGCUCAACGUACAGGCUGCCGGGAAUACUGCAAAGCUAGGGAGUGGGAGAGUUAGACGGUACUCGGUAGGARGNGGUAAAAUCCUUUGAUCUAUUGAUGACCACYUGUGGCGAAGGCGGUCUACCAGAACACGUUCGACGGUGAGGGAUGAAAGCUGGGGGAGCAAACCSGGAUUAGAUACCCGGGUAGUCCCAGCUGUAAACUAUGCAAACUCAGUGAUGCAUUGGCUUGUGGCCAAUGCAGUGCUGCAGGGAAGCCGUUAAGUUUGCCGCCUGGGAAGUACGUACGCAAGUAUGMAACUUAAAGGAAUUGGCGGG